UUGACAUGCAAAUGAUAACGAUUAUUAUUAACCACAAGUCGCCGCAAGGUGGCUUGGAUAACAGAACGUCGUGAGACGGACGGUUAUCUCCUCAUCAGGCUAAUCACGGAUUUAGGCCCGCUCUCUGAGCGGGCCCUUUUUUU
rfam:Pseudomonas bauzanensis strain CGMCC 1.9095 genome assembly, contig: Ga0066784_103